rnacentral:lncRNA from 1 species
GUAACUGAGCAGGUGUCCCCGUCACUCACCCACCAGAGUGCCUAGCUCAGAAAUGGUACUCAGGAAAUGGCUUGACUCCUGAAGGCAGAGGCAGCAAACUGGGAAACGUGCUGACUCUGCCCUCUGUGCCCAGGCACCACAUUUGUCCAGGCAGCUUGCUUAGCAGGGCCUGGAGCUGACAGGGGCUCAACCAAUGCUGGUGGAAUAAACCACCAGACCCAUCUUGGCUUGGGGGAGCUUAUUUAAGUUGGGUUGCCCUCCAGAGGCCUGCUCUGGCUUCCUGCAUAUUCUAUCACUCAGAGGAGAACCCUG